rnacentral:misc_RNA from 1 species
GAAUAUAAAUCGGAAAGCUGUCGCUGGCCCUCUGGGCAUGUGCACGCCGACCGUGUUUCAUAAAUUUCUCACCUGUGAACCUAAUGUAGGAUGCCUCUCUUUCGGGAGGGGGGACCUAUGUCUUCAUAUACAUCUCCGUGUAGAAAGUCUUAGAAUGUUUACUAUCAUAGAGUCGCGACUUCUAGGAGACGCGAAUCUGUGAGAUAAAAGUUAUUACAACUUUCAGCAAUGGAUCUCUUGGCUCU